rnacentral:tRNA from 1 species
GUUGGGGUGGCAGAGUUUGGUUAGUGCAUAAGGCCUAAGCCCUUCUUACAGAGGUUCGAAUCCUUUCCUCAACU